ACCUGACUGGCUCAGUUGGUAGAGCACGUGACUCUUGAUCUCAGGGUCUUGAGUUUAAGCCCCAUGUGAGGUG
rnacentral:tRNA from 1 species